UACGGAGGGUGCAAGCGUUAUCCGGAUUCACUGGGUUUAAAGGGUGCGUAGGCGGCUUGAUAAGUCAUUGGUGAAAGCUCGCGGCUCAACCGCGAAACUGCCAAUGAAACUGCCAAGCUUGAAUCUGGUUGAAGUGGGCGGAAUACAACAUGUAGCGGUGGAAAUGCUUAGAUAUGUUGUAGAACACCGAUUGCGAAGGCAGCUCACUAAGC
rnacentral:rRNA from 1 species